CGCAAAUCCGUUGUCAUGAUACCCUUGUCAUAAGUGACACUGUAUAUCCUAGAUUAUUGAUUUUUUAUUGAAUAUACAAGUUUUUUCUAAUCCAAGUUUAUUUUCAUAAUCAUCCCUCGGAAAGUCGAACAUGGUCCAAUACGAGCCGGAUUGGAAAACAACUAAUGAUAAACAAUAAUUUGUUAGUGCAAAAGAACGUUACAAACCGUAAUUAACACAAAACUAUUUCGUUGCUAAGUACUAGUGAAUGUGAAGAAUGGGCCCGGACAGUUAUAUUAAAUUACAAACCGAUGUUCAAAAUAAGAUAUUUAAGGCACAGAUUAAUUUCAAAAAGUCACCUGCAUCUAGAAUAACAAGGGAAUAUAUCGAAACGAGAUUGCAAUUAUUGGAACAACACUGGUUAGUUUGAAGAAAAUCACCAGAAUGUUAUAUUGGGAUGCGAAAAUAACGAUUAUAGCUAUUAAACAAAAGGUACAAUAACAAACGUUACAUCGCGAACAGCAUUCUGGCCAGGCUGGUGGGCCAAAGGGCUUUAUCUUCAGAGUCAUCCAACGGUGUUAAACAAAUACUCGAUACGACAAAUGAUUGCUUGCACGCUUUAUCUAACCUUGGUAUACCUGUAUCGACAUGGGACAUCCUGAUUAUAUAUCUCAUCACAAUAAAAUUGGAUAAUGAAUCCCGGAAACAAUGGGAACAAAAACUAAGCAAACAGGCUGAUCGAUUGCCUACACUAAGCGAGUUCCAAUCAUUCCUGGAAUCAAGAUAUCGAGCACUCGAGUUUUUUGUACAAGAAGCCAUCGAGAAUCGCCGGGAGUUCAUCCAGAAGAGAAAACUGUGUUUCAAUUGCUUCGGAGCUAACCAUUCGGUAACACAGUGCAAACGAUGCACGGCUUGUUGGAUCAGGACUCUCAAGCCUCGUUUAUUAGUGAACACGCAGUUCAACUUUUGCAGCUUUGAAGGUUGCCAGUUCGAAGUACCAUAUCUGGUUUAGGAGGAGACAAAUCUAGUAUUUCAGUAAAACAUAUGGUUCAAUUUAAAGUACAGUCCACAUAUAACUCUUUUAGCUAUCCCGUUCAAGCUUAUGUUUUAAACUGCCUAACAUCCACUCUUCCUUCACAGCAAAUUCAAUUUCAGGAUUGGCCGGAAUUGUUGCAAUUGCAGAUGGCUGAUCCAGGAUAUGGUACACCAAGCAAUAUAGAUCUUCUACUAGGCGCUGAUGUGUAUGGUCAGGUUUUGUCAGAAGGCAUAUUGAGAAAUCCACCUGGAACCUUGACAGCUCAAAACACACAGCUGGGAUGGAUCCUGUCGGGACGAGUUUAGGUUAGUGGGGAUACUCCUUGCAUUAUUAGCGCACAUACCCAUGACAACUCAAUCAAAGAUUUGCUGCGUCAGUUCUGGGAGAUUGAAACUGACCAGCCUCAUCCACUUUUAUCCAAGGAAGAAGAAUCCUGUGAAAGAUACUUUGAAUCCACUACAACUAGGGACAGUUUGGGUCGUUAUGUUGUAGGUCUUCCUUUUCGCGACAACAAUCCACUUGCUCAAGAAGAAACUUGAAAAUAAUCCAUUCUUGAAGCAAGAAUAAUCCAAGGUAAUAAAUGUAGCCACCUGGCUAUGAAUCAUAUAGAAGUAAUUAAUGACAAACAAGAAGCUGCUAAGCCAGGAUGCGUUUAUCUACCUCAUCAUGCAGUUGGUUGUUCGCGAGGACAAAAGUACAAUGAAGGUCGGCGUUGUUUUCGACGCUUCGUGUAAGGGUACCAGCGGCAAGUCAUUGAACAAUGAUUUAUUGGUAGGUCCAAGGCUUCAACCAGAGUUACGACACAUAAUUAUGAAAUGGCGUACUUAUCCUAUAUGUUUCGCAGCGGACAUAGCUAAGAUGUAUCGAAUGGUCAAGGGCGUACCAGAGCAUACUGACUUCCAGCGAGUACUGUGGAGAGAGAAUCCUAGUGAAGAAGUCAAGGACUGCAGGCUGUUAAGAGUUACCUUUGGUGUUUCGUCGGCCCCAUAUCUAGCAGUUAAGAGUUUGCAACAAGUGGCAAAGGACUGAACCCACCAUCGCUCUGGUUUGGCUGAAGGGACAGCCAAAUCGAUGGAAGACCUUCGUCGCAAAUCGAGUGACUGAAAUCCUGACAGUUUUUAAACAACGACCAAUGGUCGCUUGUGGAGUCAUGCCAGAAUCCAGCCGAUUGUGCAUCCCGGGGGCUGGCUCCACAAGAAUUUAUCCACUGUGAACUCUGGUUCCAUGGCCCUACGUUUUUAAGAGAAUCCACGUAUGUAUCGCCAACGGUAAACAUAUCGACUGAUUUAGAAGUCAAGCCGUUGAAGUCUCAUCACCUAACUAUUUCCGAAGUAGCUAGGUCAGAUCUCCAGACAUGGACGAAGUAUUUAUUUUUAUAAAAAAUGGUUAGAGUGGUCGCGUUUUGCAUUCCAUUUAUUAAUAAAUUAAGGUCAAAGCGAUAUCCUUCUUACUUGAUGGCUUCCGAAUGAGAUCAUGCAUUAAAGAUAGGAAUUAAGGUUUGUCAGACUCAGGCGUUUUCUAAAGAUAUUGAGCAAAUAAAUAAUACAAAAAAUGACUCAGCAGUUCUGGCGUAAGUGGUUUGCCGAGUACCUCACGACUCUAAAUCAGAGAUAUCAGCGGACUAAAACUACACCAGAACCCCAAAUAGGUGACGUUGUUCUUGUUAAGGAAGGUGGUCUCCCUCCUUCAAGAUGGUUAUUCGGUUUGAUAGAGGAGAAGCACACUGAUCCAGAUAAUGUCACAAGGGUACUAUCAAAUGUAAGAAAUCUAAAAUUGUAAGACCAGUCUCCAAACUUUGCAUUUUGCCUAUCGCUUUUUAACAUUACUUACCUGAAUAACUGUAGAUAUUUCAUGCAAUGUAUGUAACUUAAAUGUAUCUUUGGAUGCAUCAGCUAUUAAGUAUUUUAUUAUUGUUUAGUUGUAAGUAAGUACGAACUGUUUAAAAGCAACCCUUGACUGAACUUUGUCGUUAUUAUGGUUUCUUUAAUGUGUAAGUUUAUAUUUAGUUCAUGUUGAGCAGUUCUUUAUUGAUUACUAUUAGGUUAAGAUGUUACGGUUUCAUGGAGAUGUUAAUUGUACAUGUAAAAUUUGAUGGCCUCAUUGUUGGCUAUGAACUUUUGUAGUUCAUGGUGGGCGGAAUGUUCACCCUGUUUCUUCUAACUCCUAAAACCGUCACUAGAGCGCGCUGUAAUACGCAAAUCCGUUGUCAUGAUACCCUUGUCAUAAGUGACACUGUAUACGUAGAUUAUUGAUUUUUAUUGAAUAUACAAGUUUUUCUAAUCCAAGUUAAUUUUCAUAAUCAUCCCUCGGAAAGUCGAACACUUUGCUUAUUUCGCUUAUUCAACAUGGCGGAAAAGAAGAAAAGACGUUUAACGUAUACCAGUGAAGAAAGUGACACAUAGAAGCGGUGCAGAUUUUGCAGCACCAAAAAUUGCAAAAGAGAUCAAAAAUAUGUUGUUCUAUGUGGAAAGUGACUCUAUGUGCCAAGUCAUGUUUCAGACUUUUUCACACUCCGGAGGAAACUCAAGCAGAAUAAUAAUUUACUUUUCACAAUUAAUAAAACUCUCUACUUAUUAUGAA